rnacentral:rRNA from 1 species
GAUGAACCUCCUUCGGGAGGGGAUUAGUGGCGAACGGGUGAGUAACACGUGGGCAAUCUGCCCUUCACUCUGGGACAAGCCCUGGAAACGGGGUCUAAUACCGGAUACGACUGCGGAAGGCAUCUUCCGCGGUGGAAAGCUCCGGCGGUGAAGGAUGAGCCCGCGGCCUAUCAGCUUGUUGGUGGGGUAAUGGCCUACCAAGGCGACGACGGGUAGCCGGCCUGAGAGGGCGACCGGCCACACUGGGACUGAGACACGGCCCAGACUCCUACGGGAGGCAGCAGUGGGGAAUAUUGCACAAUGGGCGAAAGCCUGAUGCAGCGACGCCGCGUGAGGGAUGACGGCCUUCGGGUUGUAAACCUCUUUCAGCAGGGAAGAAGCGAAAGUGACGGUACCUGCAGAAGAAGCGCCGGCUAACUACGUGCCAGCACCCGCGGUAAUACGUAGGGCGCAAGCGUUGUCCGGAAUUAUUGGGCGUAAAGAGCUCGUACGCGGCCAGUCACGUCGGAUGUGAAAGCCCGAGGCUUAACCUCGGGUCUGCAUUCGAUACGGGCUGGCUAGAGUGUGGUAGGGGAGAUCGGAAUUCCUGGUGUAGCGGUGAAGUGCGCAGA